AUUGAACGCUGGCGGCAGGCCUAACACAUGCAAGUCGAACGAGUGGCGGACGGGUGAGUAAUGUCUGGGAAACUGCCUGAUGGAGGGGGAUAACUACUGGAAACGGUAGCUAAUACCGCAUACCAUCAGAUGUGCCCAGAUGGGCUUAGCUUGUUGGUGGGGUAACGGCUCACCAACUCGACGAUCCCUAGCUGGUCUGAGAGGAUGACGCGCCACACUGGAACUAGGAUACGUUCCCGAAUCCUAAGUGAGGCAGCAUUGGGGAAUAUUGCAGAAUGGGCGCAAGCCUGAUGCAGCCAUUCCGCGUGUAUGAAGAAGGCCUUCGGGUUGUAAAGUACUUUCAGCGGUGAGGCGUUACCCGCAGAAGAAGCACCGGCUAACUCCGUGCCAGCAGCCGCGGUAAUUC
rnacentral:rRNA from 1 species